AAAGCCACGGCUAACUACGUGCCAGCAGCCGCGGUAAUACGUAGGUGGCAAGCGUUGUCCGGAUUUAUUGGGCGUAAAGCGAGCGCAGGCGGUUUUUUAGGUCUGAUGUGAAAGCCUUCGGCUUAACCGGAGAAGGGCAUCGGAAACCGGGAGACUUGAGUGCAGAAGAGGACAGUGGAACUCCAUGUGUAGCGGUGAAAUGCGUAGAUAUAUGGAAGAACACCAGUGGCGAAGGCGGCUGUCUGGUCUGUAACUGACGCUGAGGCUCGAAAGCAUGGGUAGCGAACAGGAUUAGAUACCCUGGUAGUCCAUGCCGUAAACGAUGAGUGCUAAGUGUUGGAGGGUUUCCGCCCUUCAGUGCUGCAGCUAACGCAUUAAGCACUCCGCCUGGGGAGUACGACCGCAAGGUUGAAACUCAAAGGAAUUGACGGGGGCCCGCACAAGCGGUGGAGCAUGUGGUUUAAUUCGAUGCUACGCGAAGAACCUUACCAGGUCUUGACAUCUUCUGCUAACCUAAGAGAUUAGGCGUUCCCUUCGGGGACGGAAUGACAGGUGGUGCAUGGUUGUCGUCAGCUCGUGUCGUGAGAUGUUGGGUUAAGUCCCGCAACGAGCGCAACCCUUAUUGUCAGUUGCCAGCAUUUAGUUGGGCACUCUGGCGAGACUGCCGGUGACAAACCGGAGGAAGGUGGGGAUGACGUCAAAUCAUCAUGCCCCUUAUGACCUGGGCUACACACGUGCUACAAUGGACGGUACAACGAGUCGCGAAACCGCGAGGUCAAGCUAAUCUCUUAAAGCCGUUCUCAGUUCGGAUUGCAGGCUGCAACUCGCCUGCAUGAAGUUGGAAUCGCUAGUAAUCGUGGAUCAGCAUGCCACGGUGAAUACGUUCCCGGGCCUUGUACACACCGCCCGUCACACCAUGAGAGUUUGUAACACCCAAAGCCGGUGAGGUAACCUUCGGGAACCAGCCGUUUAAGGUGGGACAGAUGAUUAGGGUGAAGUCGUAACAAGGUAGCCGUAGGAGAACCUGCGGCUGGAUCACCUCCUUUCUAA
rnacentral:rRNA from 1 species